CUCAGGAGCACCCUUGAGCCAUGGGCGCUGGCAUGGGUGGAUCAAUACUGCAGCUUCCUUGGCCCUGGCAGGAGGAAGUUCAGAGAAAGUUCCAGGCUGUCUCCCAGAGGUGCCGUGCUGGGCAGAGCUCAGACGCUCUCAGGUCUCCCCUGCACAUUCACGGCCUGGGUUGGUUGCCCACUUUCCAGCCUCUCUCCCCCUCCCAACUACUGUUUCCCAUCUUCACCUCCAAAUCAGCCACUAGCCCACUUUCUCAAUGGCGUGUCUGCUUCUGGGGGACCCACCCGGAAGCUGUUUCCUCCUCCAUAUAGUAGGGUGAUAACAGCGCCCGGCUGCGGGUUCGUUGGGGGUUGCAGUGAGGCUGAGAUAACGGAACACUAUUCCCACACUGUGCAAAGGCUUCAGUGCCUGCAGUCCUGCGGCCACAUCGUAGUUGCAGAUGGGCAAAAACUCCAGCCAACUGUGCCACUCAUCAGAGCCACUGGCUUGUCCCAGGCUAUGGGAGGAGGCAGGGAGGGGACCCAGAAGCUCAGUGGGGUUUUUCAGAGUAGAAGAGUGACUUUUGGCAAGGGGCAGAGAGGUCAUUGGCAGUUCGGGUGGAGGUGAAAGCCAGCUGUAGUGGGAGAGGAAGGAAGGGGACGGGGUGUGAGUUUCACGUGUGCCCUGGCCCGGCCAUGGAGUGACUGUGAGCAAGCCUGUCCACCUUGGAGGCUCCUGCAUGGAGCAGGGCUGCUGGGAAGAGCAGAGAGCACCCCGAGGUAAGAAGCAACUUGGUCUGCCCUGCAGAGGGUCCCAGGGGCUCUUGUAUUCCCUCCUCACAGCUCAAGGAGCUCAUUGCCAGCACCCGCCUGGGAACUCACUACAACUCCAGCUCCGUCUAUUCCUUUGGGGAAGGACCCCUCACCUGCUUCUUCUGGUUCAUUCUUCAAAUCCCCGAGCACCGCCGGCCGAUGCUGAGCCCCGAGGUGGUGCAGGCACUGCUGAUGGAGGAGCUGCUGUCCACGGUCAACAGCUCGGCUGCCGUCCCCUACCGGAACGAGUACGAGGUGGAUCCCGAGAGCCUAGUGAUCCUGGGUCAGUACUGGGAGCGAGCGGGAACGUGGGGUCAGCCUCAUAAGGUUGGGGAAAACAGCUGUGGUGAGGCCCGGGGAGGCUGCCUGCCAGGGCUGGGGUGCUGUCAGGGCAGGCCCCCUGGAGAGCCCCCCAGGUAAGGGAGCAGUGCCAUUGCAUUCAGGCAGCCGGGACAGAAGGCAGGGUGAGGGGCGCUUGGGGUGAAUCUCAGACAAGGCUGGCUCCAAGAGUCUCUUUUAAUUUUAUUUCCAUUGUAUUUUCUGUGUUUAUUUGUUUCCUUUAACAGAAGCCAGUGUGAAAGAUAUAGUUGCGCUGAAUUCCACGCUGGGUACGCUCCUUGUUUGUUCUUCGUUCCGCACUUUCCUUUUGAGUUGGUGUUUUCCUUGGUUUUGUUGUGUGUCAGGAGGCCACGGGGCUGCUACGGUGGGUGCAGGGAGCCCGGGCCGAGACUCACCGGGGGGUGCCGUGGUGCACUCCCUCAUGGGUCCCCAGCAAGUCUUGACGAGUGCGAGGAGAGGAGGUGGUGGUGUCUUGUGGACGGGUGUGUAUGCAUUCCUGUGUGGGCAUGAAGAUGAACCAGGUUUAGCAGUCCACAAAUGUGACUCUCCUUCUCUAUCACUGACUUCACCCUGCCUCCAAGCCACUGUUUGCACUCAUGCUAGAAAACCAUCUUGCCAAUUCACGGUUUAUCAGUCAUGUUGGUUUUAAUACUUGGUCCUUUGGAGGCAGCAGUGCCGUGGCAUUCAAGAACGCUCCUUCCACUUCUUCCUUUCCUUCCCAGUCAGGCUCAUCAGCCCGACCUCCCUACCUGGUGUCAUAUCGCUAGAGUCACCUUACUUUUCUCCAAGCGGACCCACAAUCUUUCAGCUGACCAGCAGCGUCGCCAUGCUGCACAAGCAGGAGGUGCUGUGCUAAGUUGUAGUUUGUGUGAGUGGUGCAGUGCACCCACUGGGCUGCUGGACUCUGUGGCCCCUCAAUUCUGAGAUUCCUCCUACACUAUCUAGCGUUGUCACCUGGAGCCAAGGUGGGGGUGAGCGUCUCAACCC
rnacentral:lncRNA from 13 species